rnacentral:piRNA from 1 species
UAUAAGGAUUCAGUUUAGCUAGGAAUUAGG